rnacentral:rRNA from 1 species
UACGGGGGGGGCAAGCGUUGUUCGGAAUUACUGGGCGUAAAGCGUGCGCAGGCGGUUCGUUAAGUUCGAUGUGAAAGCCCCGGGCUCAACCUGGGAACUGCAUUGGAAACUGGCGAGCUUGAAUGCGGCAGAGGGGGGUGGAAUUCCGCGUGUAGCAGUGAAAUGCGUAGAGAUGCGGAGGAACACCGAUGGCGAAGGCAGCCCCCUGGGCCGACAUUGACGCUCAGGCACGAAAGCGUGGGGAGCAAACAGG